rnacentral:lncRNA from 1 species
AUGGGGGGGCUGAGGGACCUCGGGAUGGCCCCGAUCCCGUGGGAAUCCCAGCCCUGCCCUGGGAUCACCGGGAUCGCCCUGAGAUCCAGGGGGGACCCGGCCCCAGAUCCAGGGAAUGUUCCCAGGAUCCCUGAUCCAGGCCCAGAUCCAGGAAUCCCAUCCCAGAUCCAGGAAUCACAUCCCAGCUCAGAGAUCCAGCCCCAAACCCAGGAAUCCCAUCCUGGAUCCCUGGUCCAGAUCAGGAAUCUCAUCCCAGAUCCCUGUCCCAGAUCAGGAAUCCCAUCCCAAACCUGUGAAUCCCAUGCCAGACCCAGGAAUUCCACCCCAAACUCAGGAAUCCCAUCCAUAAUCAGGAAUCCCUUCCCAAACCCAGGAAUUCCAUCCCAGAUCCCCGUCCCAGGUCCAAGAAUCCCAUCCCAAACCCAGGAAUCCCAUCCCUGA